UUUUGCUAAUUCCUGCAGCCAUCUGCUAGCAGUGUUCUUGGCGUACAGCACUGAGGAAAAAUAACAGAGCAGCUGGCAUACCACACAGUGAUGCAGUAUGUCAAAACACUCUAAAUGGUGGAGCAGUAUAAUGUCUCCAGCACAUUCUCCAGGAGAGGCCAUUCUACCGAGAAGCCUUGCUGGUCAUCCGCCUUGCAUUGAGGCUGUCCUCGCAAGCAGCCUCUCCAUUCUCCUGCUUGGCUCUCUCAUUAUUUUGGGCCGGAGCCUGAGACUCUGGUUAGGCUGCCCUGUGUGUUUCUUGUGGGUCUCCUCCUAGGUGGCAACGUCCUGUUUUUUUGUUUUUUUGGCACCAAGUGAAUUUGACCUGUGGGCUUUCUGUAUUGUUCCCAUUUUUCCAGUUCCCCUCCUUAGGUAUUGGACUCUCGAGUUUGUGUGUGGGACAUGGUGGUGUGGUACUUUUGGUUUUUGGCCCAUUCAGGGCAGGGAUUUUCCACCUCGCCAUUUAAAAGGUACAAUCGUGGUAUAGGGGUCAAUGUAGACCCUCCAAAAUGCCACAACAAGAAGCAAUAUUUAUGCUGAGAGGAGUUCACCAUACUUUUGUAUAAAUGGGACAAGGUGGAAUGGGGGAUUGGGGGUUGGGGUGAGAGGGAGAGCUAGAGGGUUAAUGAGGAGAGAGAGCAGUGUCAGUGAAUUAAAAUGUUGUUUUGUGAUUGUUUCAAUGUGGUUAUGUUCUAAAG